AGGUAGAAUCAGAAAAAAAGCCAGAAGAUCGUUGUCAUCCCAUUUAGUCUUUGAAAUACGUCCCACCACUGCUGCAUUUGUACAGGGAAAACACUGAGACUACAUAGUCUGAAUCAUCCAACCCUUCUUUACAGCGGUAGUGCCCCAAUUUUCUAUGGAAAAAUUGUUUUCUAUGGAAAACAAAAGAAUUAAGUGACUCAAACUACAAUUCCCACAGUUGCUCAGAGGGACUGGGUGAGAGUGAUGGGUUUUCUGCCUCUGGGGUGUCCAUGCUGAGGCUAGAUGCCAACUUGUUUGUGACAUCAACGAUAUUAUGGAGGGUUUAUGGUGGGUUGAGUGUUGGAGGAGAACAGUGGUUUCCAGACCAUCCAACAUCCCCCAAACUGCUGUUGUAGCAUGCUGGCGCAGUGAGGGGGCUUCGAGGGACCAGUCCAUCACAGAGGCUUCUCAAGUAGCCAUGGACAGUGAUUGAUGCCACUGAGCUUCACAGUGAGCAUCCUUGAACACCUAAGAGCAGGGACAACCUUUCAAAGAGCUGCUUGGGGGUGUGUAGGAUAAUGAAUAGAGGAUUGGGCAAGCUGCUGGAUCAGAAGAUAAAAGAAGUCUCCUUUACAGAUGGCCCAUCCUCAGCAUUGGCUUGAAGACACAUAGGUGAGUCCCAGUCAAUUAAUCUUACUCAUUUGUCAAUAACAUUACAAUGCAUAAAGUACAUUUUGUAUUUAUUUUCCUUCUUUUUUAGCAUUACUUAAAGAAUAUUUUUAAUGGACUAAUGUAUUUAUUCUAUUUUUUACAGAUCUUAUCCAAAAUGUCUGUCUGAGGAACUACUGAAUUUCCUUUUACUUUAACAACUGGAUGAAUGCAACUCAGUUCAACUGUCAUUUCCCUCUAGUGAUUAUUCAUUACAGAUGACUGAUAAAUAGUUCAAAAAGUCAUGCUUACACAAUGUUGAAUACCAACUUUAAAAUGUAUUACUUCAACAAUUUCAAAUAAACUUCCAAGCAAGAAGAACUGAUUUCA
rnacentral:lncRNA from 1 species